rnacentral:rRNA from 1 species
AUUCCAGCUCCAAUAGCGUAUAUUUAAGUUGUUGCAGUUAAAAAGCUCGUAGUUGGAUUUCGGGUGAGGAUGACCGGUCUGCCGUUGCGGUACGCACUGGACGUUUUCAUCUUGUUGUCGGGGACGCGCUUCUGGGCUUCACUGUUCGGGACGCGGAGUCGGCGCUGUUACUUUGAAAAAAUUAGAGUGUUCAAAGCAGGCAAUCGCUCUGAAUACAUUAGCAUGGAAUAACGCUAUAGGACUCUGGUCCUAUUGUGUUGGUCUUCGGGACCGGAGUAAUGAUCAAUAGGGACAGUUGGGGGUAUUCGUAUUCCGUUGUCAGAGGUGAAAUUCUUGGAUUUACGGAAGACGAACUACUGCGAAAGCAUUUACCAAGGAUGUUUUCAUCA